CUUGGUCAUUUAGAGGAAGUAAAAGUCGUAACAAGGUCUCCGUUGGUGAACCAGCGGAGGGAUCAUUACAGAGUUGCAAAACUCCCAACCAUUGUUAACCUUACCAUUACCGUUGCUUCGGCGGGUGGCUCCCUUCGGGGCGCUGCGCCCUCCCUUGCGGAAGGCAGCCCGCCAGAGGUACACUAAACUCUCGUAUUAAUUGGCAUCUCUGAGUAACUUAUAAAAUAAGUCAAAACUUUCAACAACGGAUCUCUUGGUUCUGGCAUCGAUGAAGAACGCAGCGAAAUGCGAUAAGUAAUGUGAAUUGCAGAAUUCAGUGAAUCAUCGAAUCUUUGAACGCACAUUGCGCCCGCUAGUAUUCUGGCGGGCAUGCCUGUUCGAGCGUCAUUUCAACUAUCAAGCCCUAGGUUUGUGUUGGGGCCCUGCGGCCGUCCGCAGCCCCCGAAAAGCAGUGGCGGGCUCGCUAUAGUACCGAGCGUAGUAAUAUAUCUCGCGAGGAUGUUAUAGCGUGUUCUAGCCGUUAAACCCCCCAAUUAUCAAGGUUGACCUCGGAUCAGGUAGGAAUACCCGCCGAACUUAAGCAUAUCAAUAAGCGGAGGAAAAGAAACCAACAGGGAUUGCCCUAGUAACGGCGAGUGAAGCGGCAACAGCUCAAAUUUGAAAUCUGGCUUCGGCCCGAGUUGUAAUUUGCAGAGGAAGAUUCUGGCGACGCGCCGUCCGAGUCCCCUGGAACGGGGCGCCAUAGAGGGUGAGAGCCCCGUAUGGAUGGAUGCUUAGCCUGUGUGAAUCUCCUUCAACGAGUCGAGUUGUUUGGGAAU
rnacentral:sRNA from 1 species